rnacentral:rRNA from 1 species
AUGCACGCUGACAGAAUGCUUAACACAUGCAAGUCUUUGGCGAAUCUGUGCUUGCACAGGCUAGCCAAGGCGGACGGGUGAGUAACGCGUAAAGAACUUGCCCUGCAGACAGGGAUAACAGACGGAAACGACUGAUAACACCUGAUACAGUUGCCGGCACGCAUGUGCCUGGCAAUGAAAAGAGAUGCUGCAGGAGAGCUUUGCGUCCUAUUAGCUUGUUGGUGAGGUGACGGCUCACCAAGGCGAUGAUAGGUAGCCGGCCUGAGAGGGUGAACGGCCACAAGGGGACUGAGAUACGGCCCUUACUCCUACGGGAGGCAGCAGUGGGGAAUAUUGGACAAUGGGGGCAACCCUGAUCCAGCAAUUCUGUGUGCACGAAGAAGGUUUUCGGAUUGUAAAGUGCUUUCAGCAGGGAAGAAGAAAGUGACGGUACCUGCAGAAGAAGCGACGGCUAAAUACGUG